UAUAGGAAACUCUUAUUAAUUCUCCAGACACCAUUAGCUCCAUUGCUCUAUGAUCCAGAAUCGUCCUCCACAUUCUCUUGAUAACACCGACCCCCUUGCUUCAGUGCUCUGGCUCGAGCUGUCUCUCCUGCUUGGGACAUGGUGUGUCAUCCUUGCUCUCUCCCCAGGCCCACCUCUACGCUCACCAGCUGAAAUCCCUGCACGUAUUUAAGACCCAAUAAGACGGCUUCUCAGAUACCCCAAAGCAGAAACUGAUUUCACUUUCUGCUACACACUCGUUUUGCUUCCUGUUUGAGCUUGUGUUCAUAAAAGGUGCUGAAUAAUGCUUUUUAGAUGGUUCCACAUUCAGUGUAGGAGAGUUAUGGAAUGCCCAUCCCAGUAUCAUUUGCAGCUGGUUCACAGAUUAUUGAGUAUAGAAUGAGAGUCCUGUGCAUAUACUUAGUGGUGAGCUGAAAACCAGAGCCUGCAAAAAGAUGAGUUGAAAAAAUUCUAGCUUUCAGUGAAUUUUGUUAGAAGACAAGUGAUUUCUUCCAUACCAUUAGAGUGGCACCUUUGUUGAGACAAUGAUGUGAAUGAAGAAAGUAGGAAGAAAUGCGUCAGUUUCAUCUUUAUGAAUUAAGACUAAUGAUAUCCAAUAUUGCACAGGGCUGUUUAAACUCCUGAUGGAUUGGUGUAACAAUCAUUCAAGGCGCCUAAGGACUUGCAAUUCCAAUUCUGGUAAGGUUGAUUUCUGGAUCAAACAGCCAGUAUCCCACAUUUUAGGAGGGCAUGAAAUCCAGGAACUUGAAGCACAGCUAAUUUGUCACUGAAUUAACAGAUGAGUCACUAGAGAAGCAGAAAUGUACCAACUGGUGGUGACUGUCAUUGCACUGAAGUAAAAGCAAGGCUCAAAAAGCAAAAUCUUCUUCCUGAAGCUACUUAACAAGCUUGGAAUAAAAAGUGUACCACUCUAGCUGGAGUUCUUUGCUCUUACCCACAAGCUCUCCCUGGUUCAGUCGCAAUGAUUUUCUACCAUAUGUCUGGGAGGUGAAACAGCACACUUCUUUCAUCUCUAGGUGAAAUGCUAAAUCACAGUUCUUCCUGUUUGCAAUCUGUGCCUUUGCUGGACUGCAUCAUAGUGAGGGUGAAGUUUAAAUGGCGUGUAGACACUGAACUCAGCAAGCAUGGGAGACUGAGGCAAGACACUUCUCUCCAGAAUGACCCUGACAUUUGUAUAGG
rnacentral:lncRNA from 1 species